rnacentral:lncRNA from 1 species
ACUUAAGCUUUGGUCAUUACGCAUCCUACGGGGAUGUGACGCGAGUUUGUACGGAUAAGGGUAUUUUCAUCCAAAUAAAUAUGAGUUUUGACUGUGGGGUAUUUGUCAGAAAAGUAUGUUGCGAUAAAAAAGUUGGUUGGGAAGAGGUUGUUUAAAAAGUCUAAAUUGAAGGUACCUGCAAUUUUUCUUAUUCUUAUUAACCAUUAAUCUUUUGGAUAAAAU